UGCAAACACAUGCAAGGUGUACCUGAAUACAAAAACAUUUAAUUAAAUAACAAACACAAAAAAACACUUUCUGUAUUGACUGUAACAAAAUUACAUUUUCAACGCAAGAAUAGUCAGUUACUUAAAUCUCAUGCAGUCGGUGAGAAACAAACUUUCCUAGAAUGAACUCACAGAUUAGGAAUGUAGCGGUUCAGUACUUGUUUGUAAACUCAGAUGUUGGGAGAGUGGGGGGGGAAUAAUUAAUAAUUUUGGGGAUGAGAAUAUUGGUGAGAAAAUAAAAGCUGUUCACAUUACACUCAACAAGGCAGUAAAACAACAGGUGAGUUAGCCAAACAGGUGAACACCACUAAUUUAAACAUUUAUGCUUGUGACAACAGUAGUAAAAUUCUAGAAAGCAUUCAAAUGUUCAAAAGUAUCCAGUCAAGCUAAACCAAGUUGAGUCCAGCUCAGCUAUCAUAUGUCAGGUAUCAAAAAUAAUAAACACAACAUGUCACUAGAUAAUGCUUCUGUGGCAACAAAAAAAAAAAA